GACGAACGCUGGCGGCGUGCUUAACACAUGCAAGUCGAACGAGGGUGCAGGAGAGCUUGCUCGAAUGCAGCCGAGUGGCGGACGGGUGAGUAACGCGUGAACAAUCUGUCUCAUACAGGGGGAUAACGCGUCGAAAGACGUGCUAAUACCGCGUAGGACCACAGCACCGCAUGGUGCGGAGGUGAAAGGCUUCGGCCGGUAUGGGGUGAGUUCGCGUCUGAUUAGAUAGUUGGUGAGGUAACGGCUCACCAAGUCAACGAUCAGUAGCCGACCUGAGAGGGUGAUCGGCCACAUUGGGACUGAGACACGGCCCAGACUCCUACGGGAGGCAGCAGUGGGGAAUAUUGGGCAAUGGGCGAAAGCCUGACCCAGCAACGCCGCGUGAGGGAAGAAGGUUUUCGGAUUGUAAACCUCUGUCCUGUAUGAAGAGAAGGAGACGGUAGCCAAGGAGGAAGCCCCGGCUAACUACGUGCC
rnacentral:rRNA from 1 species